UGGAGGUGAUGACUCUUUGCUUCUCCUGACAAAAUUGCUGGAGGCGAAAACUGAUUUAAUGAGCCUGAUCC